CAGUUCGGAUUGAAGGCUGAAAUUCGCCUUCAUGAAGCUGGAUUCGCUAGUAAUCGCGCAUCAGCCAUGGCGCGGUGAAUACGUUCCCGGGCCUUGUACACACCGCCCGUCAAGCCAUGGGAGCCGGGGGUGCCUGAAGUUCGUGACCGCAAGGAGCGACCUAGGGCAAAACUGGUGACUGGGGCUAAGUCGUAACAAGGUAGC
rnacentral:rRNA from 1 species